GCCCAUUAACGUCAUCAACUAUUCAACUCUUUCUUCCACCUCACCGCACCACCCUCCCCCUCCUCUCAUGGCUCCACGAGCUCCACCCCUCCAUCACCGCCUCCUCCUCGCCGCCGCCGUCCUCCUCCUGCUCGCGCCCUCAACCGCGGCGGCGGAGAAACCCAUCUCCUUCUCCUUCCCGUCCUUCUCCCUCCGCAAUCUCACCCUCCUCGGCGGGGCCUCGCUCCGCGCCGCCUCCGUCUCUCUCCCGCCGCCUUCCUCCCACGCGCUCUUCCCUCUCCCGCUCCCAUUCCCACCCAACGCCUCCUUCACCACCUCCUUCCUCUUCGCCGCGCCCGCCUCCGCGCGCCCCACCUCCCGCCUCUCCUUCGUCCUCCUCCCCGACCCGCUCACCACCGCCGCCGCCGCCGAGGGCCUCGCCAAGAACCGGUCCUUCCCACUCGAGGUCACGCUCGACGCGUCCAAGAACCGCAUCUCGGCCUCCUCCACCGGGAUGGAACUCGCGGGGAACUCCACGGGCGCGGUGGACCUGCGGGACGGCAACGGGGUCGGUUCUUGGGUCGUCUACGAUGCGCGCCUUGAACGCCUCGAGGUGUUCCUCAGCCACGGAAGCCUGCGCCCUGUUACACCGGCGCUGGCCGCCGACGCCGCGGGCAUUGGCACCCGCUUCGCCGAGUUCAUGUUCGUCGGCCUCGAGGUGUUGUCAUCUUCGUCGGACAACGCGAGCCGCGACGGCGGCUUCGUUAUCGAGAGCUGGACCUUCCUGACGUCUGGGCAGCCGACCGUCGAUCCCGCGUCCCGGCCCUCUCACAGCGUGUCCGACAGCGUAGGCAGUGCCCCCGCGUCGGCCGGUCUCACCACCCAUAGGGAUGAGCGCCGCAGGAGGCUGGCAUUGGGGCUCGCCAUACCCUUGCCCAUCGUGUUUCUUGGCGCAGUCAUGGUGUUUGUGGUAAUGUCUCUGAAGAAGUGGAGGUGGGGUACUGAAGGGCUUAACGAGGGAAUUGGGGCAAAGGCAGCGGGCAAGCCAAGGGAGUUCAUGUACCAAGAUCUCUUCUCUGCUACAAAGGGGUUCGAUCCGUCUAUGGUGGUUGGCAGCGGUGGUUUUGGUACAGUGUACAAGGCAGUGUGCCCACGCUCUGGGGUCACAUAUGCGGUCAAGCGGUCGAAGCAGUCAAGGGAGAGCUACAAUGAGUUCAGCGCUGAGCUCACCAUAAUUGCUGAAUUGAAGCACCCCAAUCUGGUUCAGCUCCAAGGGUGGUGUGCGGAGAGGGAUGAGCUGCUGCUUGUCUACGAGUUCAUGUCGAAUGGCAGCUUGGAUGAGGCCCUCCACCCUUGUUCAGGUGCAGAGCGUUAUGUCACUCUCAAUUGGUCUCAGCGGUACAAUGUGGCUGUUGGCAUCGCCUCUGCUGUGGCAUACCUACAUGAAGAACAUGACAAGCAGGUGAUCCACAGGGAUAUAAAGUGCAGUAACAUACUUCUUGACUCAUGUUUCAGUCCGAGGUUGGGAGAUUUUGGGCUUGCAAGGUUAAAGGAUCCUGACACGAGCCCUCGGUCGACUCUGGCAGCAGGGACUGUUGGUUACCUUGCACCUGAGUAUCUGCAGAUGGGGAAAGCCACAGAAAAGAGCGAUGUCUACAGCUAUGGGGUUGUGCUGCUGGAGAUCUGCACGUGCAAGAGGCCAAUAGAGAGAGAAACACCUGGCAGUAUGAACAUGUUGAAUGUUGUCGAUUGGGUUUGGAACUUGCAUUCGAAAGGGAAGCUUUUGGAUGCUGCAGAUCCAUACCUGAAUGGGGAGUAUGACACCAAGCAAAUGAUGAGGCUACUUCUUCUAGGUUUGAGCUGUGUGAAUCCAUUUUCAGAGGAGAGACCUGUCAUGAGGACAGUUCUGGGCAUACUGCAUGGCAAGAAUGAGCUAUUGCCUGUUCCAAGAAAGAAGCCGUUGUUUGUGUUUGUUUCAAAUGCGCCUAUUGAUCUUGAGGGAAUAGUUUCGGAGUGCAAUCAGAGUACAGUUUCAAGUGAUCUGUAUGAGCUGAGAAUCGACCUAAACUAGCACUCCGCAGAAAACUGAAGUUCUGUGACUUGUGGACGCCUAUUCCUACUGGGAAAUCAAUUCCUGAUGGUACAGUGAAACAAUAGACUUCUCCAAGUCUGCAGGAUUUACUUUAACGUGAAUAAGUUAUGAUUAAUUUAUCAGUUAUCAUGGAUGUUUUCUCAGAACGGAUUUUUCGGAUCAGUUAUGAAGGAUGAUUCUGAGAAUGUAUCUUUCUUAAGCAACAGGUUGAAACUAUUUCACACUUGCACGGUUGCACCCCCUCAGUUUAGCACAGCAGUUGCCUGGAAUGCAUUUAAUGCUUUCAACCAUUGGCAGAAAUAUCUGAUGCAAUAAGAUUAUGCCAAAUUAAGCUACUGUUUGUUAGUCUUUCAACAAUUCAACACAUUUUUAUUGUUCCCUUGAAGGGUUCAAUACUGGUUACUUCAAAUCAAAAGAAGACACUAAGAGUAUGCAUUGAGCUCGCCAAGUUUUAUGUAUCCUUCUGCUUUGAAGAGUAACUGUUGAGAAGACUACGCAUUGUGAAGAACUCUGAUCUUUUGCGGAUACUUUGUGAAGUCUGUAGAUGUCCUUAGCUAGAGUAAAUCCUACACUCAAGGGAUUCAGUGUAGAGUUCCUGUCAGAGUUUUGUAGAGGCUAACACAGUAACACUCUUGACGUCGAAUGAUCAAGAUGGAUUCAGUGGAGAAUAUAUUUUUGAGUAUUAUGGGCCACAUGUUUGCAACACUAAGCAUGACUCUCACCUGCAUUUUUGUAAAGACUGCCAUCGAAGUACAACAUU